rnacentral:rRNA from 1 species
UACGUAGGGUGCGAGCGUUAAUCGGAAUUACUGGGCGUAAAGCGUGCGCAGGCGGGCUUUUAAGCCAGACGUGAAAUCCCCGGGCUUAACCUGGGAAUGGCGUUUGGGACUGGAAGUCUGGAGUGCGGCAGAGGAGACUGGAAUUCCUGGUGUAGCAGUGAAAUGCGUAGAUAUCAGGAGGAACACCGAUGGCGAAGGCGGCUCACUGGCUCGACACUGACGCUGAGGUGCGAAAGCGUGGGGAGCAAACAGG